rnacentral:misc_RNA from 1 species
UUUCCGUAGGUGAACCUGCGGAAGGAUCAUUAUUGUAUAACCGAGGUGCGAGGGCUGUCGCUGACCCGAAAGGUCGUGCACGCCCGAGUGCCCCAACACACAUCCAUUUCACCCCUAUGUUCACCGCCGCGUGGUUCCCCCUUUGACUUGUUCGGAGGGGGGCUUACGUUUUCACACAAACUUUGUAUGCAGUGUAGAAUGUAUUUUUUGUUUUUGCGAUCACGCAAUCAAUACAACUUUCAACAACGGAUCUCUUGGCUCUC